UACGUAGGGUGCGAGCGUUAAUCGGAAUUACUGGGCGUAAAGCGCACGUAGGCGGUUUUUUAAGUCAGAUGUGAAAGCCCCGGGCUCAACCUGGGAAUUGCAUUUGAAACUGGGAAACUAGAGUGUGUGAGAGGGGGGUAGAAUUCCAAGUGUAGCGGUGAAAUGCGUAGAGAUUUGGAGGAAUACCAGUGGCGAAGGCGGCCCCCUGGCACACUACUGACGCUGAGGUGCGAAAGCGUGGGGAGCAAACAGG
rnacentral:rRNA from 1 species